GGUGGUGUGUGUAAUGGUAGCACGUCAGAUUGUGGCCGAACUGCAAUCAACUAUAAUAGAUCUCUGUCAACCUAGGUUAGAUUCCCAGCACCGCCA
rnacentral:tRNA from 1 species